UCUAGCAGGAAUGACACUCUUGCCCUUGCUGAGUGCUGUUCAGUAAUGAGAGCAUUUUACAGUACUUGCUGGCUCUGAGUGAGG